GAUGAACGCUGGCGGCGUGCCUAAUACAUGCAAGUCGAGCGAACAGACGAGGAGCUUGCUCCUCUGACGUUAGCGGCGGACGGGUGAGUAACACGUGGAUAACCUACCUAUAAGACUGGGAUAACUUCGGGAAACCGGAGCUAAUACCGGAUAAUAUAUUGAACCGCAUGGUUCAAUAGUUAAAGACGGUUUUGCUGUCACUUAUAGAUGGAUCCGCGCCGCAUUAGCUAGUUGGUAAGGUAACGGCUUACCAAGGCGACGAUGCGUAGCCGACCUGAGAGGGUGAUCGGCCACACUGGAACUGAGACACGGUCCAGACUCCUACGGGAGGCAGCAGUAGGGAAUCUUGCGCAAUGGGCGAAAGCCUGACGGAGCAACGCCGCGUGAGUGAUGAAGGUCUUCGGAUCGUAAAACUCUGUUAUUAGGGAAGAACAAAUGUGUAAGUAACUAUGCACGUCUGGACGGUACCUAAUCAGAAAGCCACGGCUAACUACGU
rnacentral:rRNA from 1 species